GUCAAAGCUUUGUCACUUGUAUGGUGUUGAUUCCCGAAAACUGGUUUCCUUCAAGGAAGAAUCAUCAGAGAUGGGUGGCUACUUCAUUUUGAAUGGGCUGGAGAGAGUUGUUCGACUUCUAAUAAUGCCGAAGCGGAACUAUCCAAUGAGUAUGGUUCGAGGAUCAUUUCGUGAUCGGCGGGAAGGAUACACUGAUCAGGCAGUUGUUAUAAGGUGUGUACGAGAAAAUCAAUCUUCCCUAUCGGAUCAAUCUUCAAUAACAGUUAAAUUGUAUUACCUUCGUAGUGGAAGUGCAAGACUUGGAUUUUGGAUACAAGGAAGGGAGUAUUUGCUUCCUGUUGGCAUUGUUCUGAAGGCACUUACUGAGACUACAGAGCUAGAAAUUUACGAGAAGUUGACAUGUUGUUAUAAUGAGAAAUGUGAGAAGGCAAAGGGAGCUGUUGGUUCUCAGCUUGUGAGUGCAAGGGCAAUGAUUAUUCUUGAUGAAGUCCGGGAAUUGUCUCUUUUCACUCAGGCUGAUUGUCUACGGCAUAUUGGAGAACACUUCCAACCUGUCAUGGACGGGAUGGAGAGAGAAAAUUUCUCUAACGUGGCCCAUGCAGUUCUAAGAGAUUACAUAUUUGUACAUCUUAAUAAUUAUGAUGACAAGUUCAAUCUGCUCAUCUUCAUGUUGCAGAAACUUUUCUCCCUUGUAGACCAGACUUCUGUGCCUGACAAUCCAGAUUCCUUGCAAAAUCAGGAAGUGUUACUUCCUGGGCACCUUAUUACCAUUUAUCUCAAGGAAAAACUAGAAGAGUGGCUUCGUAAAACCAAGAAGGUUAUUCAAGAUGAGAUGGCAAAAAACAACAAUUUUAAUUUUUUGUCAGUUUCAGAUGUCAAGAGGAUCAUGGAUAGAAAUCCAUCAACAGCAAUCAGUUUAGCUGUGGAAAAUAUGCUGAAAACCGGAAGACUUGUAACACAAACUGGCCUAGACUUACAGCAGAGAGCUGGUUACACAGUUCAAGCAGAGAGGCUCAAUUUUCUACGUUUUCUUUCCUUUUUCCGGGCUGUGCAUCGAGGGGCUUCGUUUGCUGGACUGCGCACAACAAGUGUGCGGAAAUUGCUACCUGAAUCUUGGGGUUUUCUUUGCCCUGUCCAUACACCUGAUGGUGAGCCAUGUGGGUUGCUGAACCAUAUGACUCGUUCUUGUCGAAUUACUUCAUACUUUGAUUCACAAGGAGCUGUUAAAGACUUUUUUGAUAUGAGGAAGUCGAUCCUUGGUGUUUUGACUGGUCUUGGAAUGACUUCUUCAUUGCCAAAGCUUGUUCAAGCUGGCCCUCCGCAAGUUCUUUAUGUUCUUUUAGAUGGUCGUCUUGUUGGCUCGAUACCUUCUGGUGAGGUUGAGAAAGUUGUUACUCACUUGCGAAGAUUAAAAGUGUCGGCUGCUUCAGUGAUUCCUGAUGAUCUGGAGGUCGGAUAUGUUCCAUUGAGCAUGGGUGGUGCAUAUCCUGGUUUAUACCUCUUCACAUCUCCUUCCAGAUUUAUUCGUCCAGUUAGAAAUAUUUCUAUCCCCACUGAGGACAGUCAAAACAUUGAACUUAUAGGACCGUUUGAACAGGUUUUUAUGGAAAUAAGAUGUCCAGAUGGUGGAAAUGGCGGUAGAAGUGAUGCUUUUCCUGCAACUCACGAAGAAAUUCAUCCAAUUGAUAUGCUCAGUGUGGUGGCUAACCUUACACCUUGGUCUGAUCACAAUCAAAGCCCACGAAAUAUGUACCAGUGUCAGAUGGCAAAACAAACAAUGGCUUUCUCUUUACAAUCUCUUCGCUUCCGUGCAGAUCAGAAGCUAUAUCAUCUUCAGACCCCUCAAACUCCUAUUGUGCGCACAAGUUCAUAUACAAAGUACUGCAUAGAUGAGUAUCCAACAGGGACAAAUGCAAUAGUUGCAGUGCUUGCUUAUACAGGAUAUGAUAUGGAGGAUGCCAUGAUUCUGAAUAAGUCAUCUGUUGAACGUGGUAUGUGCCAUGGACAAAUUUACCAGACAGAGACCAUUGACUUAUCUGAAGAAGGUAGCAGGUCUGAUAGAGACCAAAGAAUGUUUAGGAGGAGUAACAUUGAUAAGUCAUUGCAAUCUGUGAUUGAUUCAGAUGGACUUCCAUAUGUUGGUCAGAUAAUACAUCCAAAUGAACCCUACUGUAGCAUUUAUAAUGAGAUAACAAAUACAACAAGAACCAACAACCGAAAAGGUUCAGACCCUGUUAUUGUUGAUUAUGUUGCUGUUGAUACCAAAAACAAGAAGCAUCUUCAGAAGGUGAAUAUACGUUUUCGACAUCCCAGAAACCCUAUCAUUGGUGAUAAAUUUAGUAGUAGACAUGGACAGAAGGGUGUUUGCUCCCAAUUGUGGCCAGACAUUGAUAUGCCAUUUUCUGGACUCACUGGAAUGCGUCCUGAUCUGAUUAUCAAUCCUCACGCAUUUCCUUCAAGAAUGACAAUUGCAAUGCUUUUGGAAUCUCUUGCUGCUAAGGGAGGUAGUUUAAAUGGAAAAUUUGUUGAUGCUACACCUUUUGCUAGUUCAGUUAAAAAAGCUAAUGGGGGAGAAACCAAAUCAGAAUCUGAAUCGCUUGUUGAUGAUCUUGGUGAAAUGCUAAGAUCUCAUGGUUUUAACUAUCAUGGUGUGGAGGUGCUAUAUAGUGGGGUUUAUGGAACAGAACUCACAUGUGAAAUAUUUAUUGGGCCUGUUUAUUAUCAGCGCCUUCGCCACAUGGUUUCAGACAAAUUUCAGGUAAGAACUUUCUUGUUAUACUUGAAAUUGAAAGUCAAGCACUUUAUUUUUGAAUUAUUUUCAUUUCUUCCUUGAGAUUUUCUGUCAAUGACUUGGCAUUUAUUUGUAAUGUCAUUCUUUUGAAUAUCAUCCACCAACAUAUAACCUAAAGGUAGGUAGUCAUUCAGAUAAGUAAAUUAUAUACUUGAGUUUGACUCUGAACCUAUAAAGUUUUGAUGAUCAUGAAAUGCCUCACGCAUUGUUUGAUGAUGGUUAAUGGGUUUACAGAUCAAGCUUUUCAGUAAAUUACUAUAUCCUUUAUUUGUAAUUGGCGUGCAGGUGCGGUCAACUGGAACUGUUGACCAGAUUACUAGACAGCCUAUUAAAGGAAGAAAGCGUGGUGGAGGUAUACGUUUUGGAGAAAUGGAACGAGAUGCCAUGCUUGCUCAUGGGGCAGCAUAUUUAUUGCAUGAUAGGCUUCACACAUGUUCUGAUUAUCACAUUGCUGAUGUAUGUUCUCUAUGCGGAAGCAUACUCACAACAUCAUUUAUCCAGCAACAAAAGCGGGUAGUGCGGGAUAUCGGUGGAUUACCCCCAGUGAGGGCUCCAAAAAAGGUGGCAUGUCAUGCAUGCCAAACAAGUAAAGGGAUGGAAACUGUUGCCAUGCCUUAUGUAUUUAGAUAUUUGGCUGCCGAAUUAGCAGCGAUGAACAUAAAAAUGACUGUCCGGCUAAAAGAUGGUGCUUGAAUACGGAUUUUGCUGCUCUUGGAGAUAAUUAUUGAGUGUGUGUGCAAUUUUGGUUUUAAUCUUCAUGGCGUCCCAAGUUAUUUAUAAAGAGGGUAGAUGCAGCUAGAUAUAUUUCACAGCACAGGGGUUGUGGGAAAGGGGAAUGUGAAUACCAGCUGUAUCAUGAGCUGGGGAAUCAGGAGUGGUAUGACUUGGCCUUCCGGUAACUGUAUUCAUCCUCUUGUAAGCAAUAACAGUUUGUUAACGUUAACUCCUGAUGGCAAGCAAUUUUCCCCUUCGAAGUAAACUAUUGUUGUAAUCUAAUCUUCUUUUUUCCUUAUUGGUCUUUUAUCUUUUUGGUAUGUUUGAAUCAGGGCUGUGUCUAAACCGGAUUGAAGAAUUGUACUGAACCAAAUUUAAUUUGAUGCUUUGGUUUUGUUCGGAUUUUUCACUAAAAUCUGAAUUGGAAGUGUACUGAAGUGAAAAUCAAUAUCAUACAUCUGUUUUAAAAU
rnacentral:misc_RNA from 1 species